UACGUAGGGCGCAAGCGUUAUCCGGAAUUAUUGGGCGUAAAGAGCUCGUAGGCGGUUUGUCGCGUCUGCCGUGAAAGUCCGGGGCUCAACUCCGGAUCUGCGGUGGGUACGGGCAGACUAGAGUGAUGUAGGGGAGACUGGAAUUCCUGGUGUAGCGGUGAAAUGCGCAGAUAUCAGGAGGAACACCAAUAGCGAAGGCAGCUCGCUGGGACGUUACUGACACUAAGGCGCGAAAGCGUGGGGAGCGAACAGG
rnacentral:rRNA from 1 species